rnacentral:rRNA from 1 species
AGGAUAAACGAUUUGGUAAGCCAUUACCUUACCAACAGUCUAAAUCCUAUACAAGCUUGUCCUUAACUAAUACAAAUAUUUAAUAUACCUUCGUGUCUAAAGUUAAUUUAGCAUUGCUAAAUAUUUGGAUAAAAAUUUGUAUUAGUUAAGGACAAGCUUGUAUAGGAUUUAGACUGUUGGUAAGGUAAUGGCUUACCAAAUCGUUUAUCCUUAACUGGCCUGGGAGGGUGUACAGUCACAUUGGGUCUGGAACAGAACCCAACUACCGAAGCGGUAGCAGCAGUAGGGAAUCUUGGACAAUGUGCUAAAGCACGAUCUAGCAAUGCUUUAGCGGUGAAGACGGUUCAGGAAAUCGUAAAAUCGAUGAAAUAAAUGAGAGGCGUUGCUUUACAAUUUAUUUUAGAAGCUCCGACUAACCUCGUGCCAGCAGUCGCGGUAAUACGAGGGGAGCAAGUGUUAUUCGUACUGAUUGGGCGUAAAGGGUACGUAGGUUGUUAAUUAAGUUUAAAGUUAAAUUCUGGAGCUCAACUCCUGGAAAGCUUUUUAAUACUGAUUAACUUUGAGUUAAUUAGAGAAUAGUAGGACUCUUAGUGUAGAGAUAAAAUUCAAUAAUAUUAAGGAGACAAGGCAGCGUAGGCGACUAUUCAUAAUUAACUGACACUGAGGUACAAAAGUAUAGGGAGCAAAAAGGAUUAGAGACCCUUGUAGUCUAUACCGUGACCUAUGAGUAUUGAAUUUAAAAAUAAAUAUAUUUAUUUUAUUAAUUCAAGCUAACGCGUAAAUACUCCGCCUGGGAACUAAGGCCGCAAGGUUAAAACUCAAAGGAAUUGACGGAGAUCAGACCAAGUAGUGGAGCAUGUGGUUUAAUCCGAUAAUCCGCGUAGAACCUUACCAAUUCUAGUUUAUAUCAAGAUAUAUAUAAUAUUAUAGAACUAAAUUUUGUUACAAUUUUAAUUAUUGUUUCAAAUAUGAUAUAAUCAGGUGUUGCAUGGCUGUCGUCAGUCCGUGUCGUGAGAUGUCUGGUUAAAUCCGAUAACGGACGUGACCCUUAAGUAAACUAUUAUGUGUUUACUAAUAGACAAUGUAAGAUUGUAGGAAGGUGAGGACAACGAUAAGUCGUUAUGGCCCUAAUGAAUUGGGCUACACAUGUGCUACAAUGGUAAUUACAAAAAGAUGCGAAAAUGUGAAUUUUAGCUACUCUUUAAAAAGAAAUCGUAGUUCGGAUUAUUCUCUGCAAUUCGAGAAUAUGAAGCUGGAAUUACUAGUAAUCGUAUAUCAGCACGAUACGGUGAAUUAGGAACCUGAUCUUGUACACACCGCCCGUCACGCCAUGGAAGCAGGUUUUAUCUUAAAUGCCUAUGAGUAAGCUUAAAAAGAUCGGAAGAGCACACGUCUGAACUCCAGUCACAGGUACCAUCUCGU